GCCGGGCGUGGUGGCUCACGCCUGUAAUCCCAGCACUUUGGGAGGCCGAGGCGGGCGGAUCACCUGAGGUCGGGAGUUCGAGACUAGCCUGACCAACAUGGAGAAACCCCGUCUCUA
rnacentral:SRP_RNA from 1 species